rnacentral:lncRNA from 1 species
AAAUCGAAGCUUUCUGCUCAAGAAAGCGCAUUCCAUAAAUCACUAUAAAUUCAGAAACAUGUGUAAUGAGUUAUCAGCUAUACUCAGGAUCGACCAAAAAACCUGAUAUUCAAAUUCAAUCUAAGAAUUAUCAUGGCUGAAGUGAAGCUUCAUGGGGCAGUACUGCCGAGUCCAUUUGUUUACAGGGUGAUUUGGGCUCUGAAAUUGAAAGGCGUGCCAUAUGAAUUUGUUGCAGAAGAUCUCUCAAACAAAAGUGCUUCGCUUUUGAAGUACAAUCCAGUUCACAAGAAGAUCCCAGUGCUUGUCCAUGGCGGAAAACCAGUUUGUGAGUCCAUGGUUAUUCUCGAAUACAUCGAAGAGACGUGGCCACAGAAUCCCUUGAUGCCAAACAAUCCUUAUGAUAGAGCUCUUGCUCGAUUCUGGAUUAAAUUCGCCGAAGACAAGGUUUGCUCACAACACUAGCAAACACGUUUGUAAUUAAGUUCAUUCUUUUCAAAUUUAUUUUUUUUAUUUUUUUAUUUUAAGAUCUAGAUUAGGUGACGAGGAUAAUGAAACCCACCCACCAAACACUAAAUCUUACUCUCCAUAUAUACUCGAACUCGGGUGAUGGCGGAAGUGAAUUCAUAGCCAGUUGAGCCCAGCCACCCAGGGGUCUCCUUCAUAUUUAUUUGUAAAAAGUUCUCUGUAACUUUCAAUUUCUGAUGUCUUCACUGUUUUAUCCUUAAAUAUGAAAAGAUGUAAUAAGUUAAAGUUAACACAACCUUUUUUAACUUCACGGGGAAUUUUGAUGACUUUUGAAGCAUUGGGAAAAAGUGAAUUUACUAGAACGACAGAUUUUGCAACUCAGUGGUUGAACUCUUAAUUAACUUAUUAAACCUCUAAUUAAAAGAUAUUGUGACAUGUGUGCAUAUUGUCUAACAAUUUUUCACUUUUAUAUACAUAUUAUUAAUUAAUCAUGUCGGUGAUAAAAUCAGAUGUAAAAUAUUUGUGGCAGGGUGUUGCUGUUUGGAAAAUGUUUCGAAGCACUGGACAAGAACUACAAAACACAAUGAAGGAAGCCUUGGAAAUGCUACAAACCAUUGAAGAGCAUGGCUUGGGAGAGAAGAAAUUUUUCAAUGGAGACAAUAUUGGCUUAGUGGACCUAGCGUUUGGUUCAAUUGUUUAUUGGUUGCAAGUCAUUGAAGAUAUAGUGGGAGCUAAACUAUUUGAAUCACACAAAUUCCCUCGCUUGCAUGCCUGGAUUGAAACUUUCAAGCAAGUCACUUUGAUUGAAGAAAAUCUUCCUAAUCAGGAUGAACUAUUGGUUGCUCUCAAACUUCGUCGUGAACAGUUGAUGGCUUCUGCUUGAAUGCAGGCGUCUUGAAUGCUUAUUCUUUGCGCUAGACAAGCAAAGUUAUGGAUAUGAAUAAUAAAAUAAGGGACUCGAUUUGUCUAUAUAUUAACUUCUAUCUUUCUCUUAACAAUAUUCAAAAAAAUAAAUAGAAAAUUAUAAGAGUAAAACAUUAAACAUUUAUAUAUCUAAUUUGAGGGUGAUAAUAUUUCCACCCUAUUAUUUUUUAGACACAUCCCACAUCCAAGGGUUGUGUUUUUUGUUGUGUGCAUCCAAGGGUUGUGUUUUUUGUUAAUUAUAAGAGUAAAACAUUAAACAUUUAUAUAUCUAAUUGGAGGGUGAUAAUAUUUCCACCCUAUUAUUUUUUAGACACAUCCCACAUCCAAGGGUUGUGUUUUUUGUUUUGUGUGAAAAUAAACUUUUUUCUUUUACAGAUGUUAUAAUUGUAUUGAUAUAUUUAUAAUCAUAUUUCUAUUGGGACUCAUUUAAAUCAAAGUCCAAAAUUUUACCAUCAAUCCCUAAUUAAUGUUACUACUUCUAACUAUUCAAAUCGGGUCCAGCGUUAGUGCAGCGACGGCCUUGAGGGUGGUGGUUUGUUCUUCUUUAGUUGUUGGCACAAGAUAUUACAUGGCUUGAGGUUUUCUCGUUGGCACGUUGCUGCUCCAACACUUGGCUUUUGUUAUAUUUUUUUCUUUUGUAAAUUGCUAAACGACGUAGGUUUAGGUUUAACUGUUAUAAUUUAUAAUUUUAGUAACGGUGUUGUCUUUUAAUAGAUAGGAGCCAAAUAAUCUAGAAAUUAAAUUGUUGAGUGAGACAAUGAGCCAUAACAUAGAAUCAGUGAACUUUAGGGUCUCCAAGUAUCCUUUGUCCGAAAUUAUUAACUAUUAAUUUAAAUGUUUGAAAAUCUUAAUACAUUUCACAUUUUGAGCUAGGUUUGUUCAUACGUGGACAAUCAUCUGUGAUUCCUAACAUUUUAGAUGAUAUUAUUUAUCAAGAAAGUCUUAGGUAUUCUCAGGCACCUCAUUAUUAUACUAGCAUGAACAAUACUCCCACCCAAUCAAAAUUUUGUGUUGUUUAAUUAGCAUCUCUUUUUGCUUGUAUUUCUAUGUUGUCAAGGAACUUCAAAUGUUUUGUUAAGCUUUUACGUUAUAUGUUAAAUUUACAACCUGUUUGAUGUUUCACCUUGAUGACCUAGGUUUGAUUCCUGACUUUUUUUUUAACCACAAAAAAGGUGGGGUUAAGUGGGACCCCUACAUUUCAUAUAAAUCAUAGAAUGAAUCAAAUACAUAAGGAGGUGAAUAUAAAUCAAAACCACAAUUGCAAGAACAUAAGAAUGGAAAAGAGAAAAAUACAAGAUAAAAAAUAGAACCCAAAAAUAAGCAAUCGUAUGACCUGAUAUGAGAAAUUACCCACAAUUCAAACAAAGAUUAUUAGAUAGGAGAGAUAUCUUGAGAACCUAAGAAACGCCGAUGAACUUGAAGAGUGCAGGCCAAAGAAAUCAGCAGUAGAAGUUGCCUUCUGAAGCACAUGACUAACCACGAAGUAGAAGAAAAUGUCAAACUACACACUCGAUGCAAAGAAUAGGUAUAGUCCGAAUGAACAAGGCCUUGGAAAAGAAUCCAAGAAGCCACCAUGGCUCAGUCUGACUCUACGUUAAGCACAUAAUAAUGGAGCUGAGCACCAACUCUAACCCCUCAAAAACAGCCAUGAAUUAUGCAUGAAAGUUCAGUUAGCGCCCAAGGAAGGAACCAAAAGCAGCCAAAGCCACACCCCGAUGAUCACGUAAACUACUAUCUGAAGCAGCCAUCCUAGGAUUACUUCUAAAGCAACCAUCAAUAGUCAGCUUAACCGCCCCAGGUGGUGACCACAGCCAAAAAAUUAAAAGAAUCAACCUCCUGGAUGAAAUAACAACUCUCAAGCACUUUGCAAACCGAGAACCUAGAACUCCUCACAGUUGGGAUGGUUUAAGACCAAAGGCAGAACCAGCAAGCCUAAGAUCCAACAUUGCCCGAUAAAUAACGGCAUCAACAAAAAACGCCAUUGAGUCAAACUUCAAUGCAUUACAGGCCUUCUAAACUUGCCACAAAAUGAAACAAGGAAGAAGAACUCAAAUAUGGCUCCAAGAAAGGGCACAUCACUACCAAUUAAGAAAUAAAGUACGGGGGAACAUAAAAGCAACUUAGCGCAAAUCAAGAGUACAUAGAAAAUGGACCCAAACUGGCCUAACUCGAGGGCAAUCAAGAAAUAAAAUACCUAGAAGUCUCAGAAGCCUAACCAUAAAGAUACUAAGAAACUAUGCAUAAAUCCCCCAAACACGAGGCAUCAUCUGUGGUCAAGAAUUUGUGUCACAACCUCUAGAGAAAAAAGGAUAUUUAGGAAAAGAUAUGUCGUUGCCAAAUAACAAAAAAAACCUCAUCACUUGGUAUUGUCCAAUGCACAAUAUUUGAAGCAGUCCUCAAAGAAAAACUACCAUCAGGAGAAAGGUCCCACAGAAUCACAUCUGGUUCUCCACUAGAGAUAGGAAUUAAAAGAAUAUGCACAACAAUUAAAAAGGGCAGCACAUCCUGAAGUUUACCCCUAUCUCAUAUUGUAUCUUGCCAAUAAAAAGAAAUUGGCACCAGAUAAGCCACCACGGGAUUAUAAAAGGCCAAAGGACAAGAGCCUAGCCAACAAUCAUACCAAAAACAACCCUCGGCCAAACAACCAACACACAUGAAGCUCAACAACAUAUUGAAUCAAGCAAAGGUGCCUCCAAAGAGGGUAGGCGGGAUAUCAAAACUAAACCAUACUCGGAUGUGCAGCUCUACAAUACUUGGACUUCAUAAAAGAAGCCCAUAAUGAAAGCUGCUCCUGAAAAAGACCAUACCAUUAAAAGACAGGCUUAAUUUUAAUUAAAUUAAGUCAAAGCUUAAGCUCAAAAGCCUUAACCAUAUCAUUAAAAGACUGGAUACUCAGGCAGCCCUCCUCAAUUGGAUAACAAACUGCCAUCCAUCCACAACAGCGAAUCUAUCGUCUAGUCUCAGAGUCACCCCAUAAGAACUGGGUGAAAAGUCUCUCUAAGUGCACAACAACUAUUGGUGGGCAGUCCUGACCUUCUACAUGAAAAUAUCGAGAAAGUCUUGGGUAUUAUCGGGCAACUCAUCAUUAUGCUAGCAUGAUCAAUAAUCCCACCCAAUGAAAAUUUCGGGCUGUAUUCUUUGGCAUCUCUUUUUGCUUGUAUUUCUAUGUUAUCAAGCAAUUUCAAAUUUUUUUUAAGCUUUUACGUUCAUGUGUUAGAUUUACAAGCUUUAUGAUGUUUCACCUUGCUGAAGUGAAAAUUAAACUUAAUUUAUAUUGAAAUUAUCUAGAAGCUUCAAUUUUUAAAUAAUAUUACUUAUUAUGCAUUGUAGAUAAAAAAAAAAAAAAAGGAUUCGCAAUAAGUACAUGAAUGAUGCGUUGAUUUUAACCAUGCUAUCAAACAAAAAUGAAAAGAAGUAUUUGUGUUUCAAUGGUAUAGUCAAAGACAGCAGCUCGGCAACCUAACUUGCUGGGCACCCACCUGAUUGAUGCCUUGAUUUUAACCGUGCUAUCAAACAAGAAUGAAAAGAAGUAUUUGUACUUCAAAGGUACAGUCAAAGACAGCGGCUGGGCAACCUGACUUGCUGCGCACCUUCCUGAUUGAUGCCUUGAUUUUAACCGUACUAUCAAACAAGAAUAAAAAGAAGUAUUUGUGCUUCAAAGGUAUCGCCAAAGACAGCAACGUGCAACUUGACUUGCUGGGCACCCAAGCUCUCUAAUACAAGUGAUCCAUGAUCGUCAUGCAUGACGCAAAUAUAUUAUUUUGGGAAAGAAAUGCCUAUUGUAUAAUUGAUGCACGGGUAUCUGAGUAGUUGACCAAAUUAAUGAUCUCAUUAGCUGGCCUUUUUAAUUAAUCAAAACAUAGAUGUAAUUUGAAAAUUAAUAAAAUAGAUGUAAUUUGAAAAUUAAUAAAAACAUGACUCCUUUUUUAAAUUAAAAAUAGGAUCACUUGUUAAUUCAACAUUGUUGAAGAGUAUGAGAGGGGGAAAAAGAAAGAAAGAAAGAGAGGAUCUUAUCCAUAUUAUUUAUAUAUAUUGGGGCAGGGUGGAGCUGUUUUUUAACCACUGGACAAGAACAAUAUUGGCUUAGUGGACCUAGCGUUUGGAUGGGUUGCAAGUCCUUCAAAGGUAUAGUGCUGGUUUAGUAUUAGGUUAUUUAAUGGUCAUAUAUAUUUAUUUAAUUUUAAAAAAAAAUUUCAAAAUUUUUGUUAUUCUUUGGUUUUAUUUUGAAUUUAGCUUUUGGGAUUAAAUAAAUUAUUUUGACUCUAUUAGAAAAAAUUUAAAUUUUGAGUUUUUUGGAGUAGAGAUUAGAAAGUUUUUUUAAAUGAUUAAAUUAUCUAAUAUGCCCAUUAUUUAUUUUAUAUUCUUAUUUUAUUCGUAUCCAUUUCACAACAUAACUUAGAAAACUUGUACAUUAAAAUAAAUUGAUAAUUUUUAAUAAAAUCUCUUUUGACAACUGAUGAACUAAACAAUUUUUUUUUUGGAUAAAAGAUCUAUUUGUAAAAACUCUACUAAUUGAAUGCCUAUUCGAAUAAAUUCUAUUUAAAAAGUUAUACAAAAUGGGGCCAUAGAGGGAGUGAAGCUAUUUGAAUCUUAAAAAUUCCCGCCAUAGAGGGAGUGAAGCUAUUUGAAUCUUAAAAAUUCCCUAGCUUACACACGAGUGGUUUAAAAAUUUCAAGCAAGUCUCCUUAAUUGAAGAAUAGCUUCCAAAGCAGGAUGAGAUGGAGGAUCUCUUUCAAACAGUUGAUGGAAAAUGUUGGUGGCAUCUGGAUAGAUGCAAUAUUAUGAUUUUUUUUAAAUAUUUUGUGUCUUGCUUUAUGCUUGUUUUGUUUUUGUAUUGGUGUUAAAAAGAGUACUUUUGCUUUGUUUAAUUUUACUAUUGCGGCAAGUGAUAUUAUGAAAAGGAUUUGAUCUAAUUUAUGGGUAUCAUCUGGCUGAAAGCAAGAGAUCUGAGAUUCGCACCCUACUAAAAUGGGUGGGGAAGCGACUAGGUUUUUGUUAGGUUAAAAAAUAAAAGAAAUAAAAAAAAUAAAAGGAAUGGAAUAAGAUCAUUAAAUAAAUAAAAGGGUAUUCUACACAAUUUAUUCUUUAAGUACUAUGACUAUCACUCUCAAAAAUCUAAUUUUUAAGGUUUUACUAAUAGAAACAAAAUAACUUAUUUAAUCUUCAAAAGUUAUACUCAAAAUACAAUCAAACUAUCGAAGUUGUCCCACAUGGGUUGUGAAAAGGGCUAUUGGUGAUUUUAUAAAUAUCAAGAAAAUCUCACCCCCGAAGCUAGCUUUUGGGGUUGAGAGAAGUUUAAGACUACCUAACACUAGUAUCAGUGUCCACAUUCACCAACAAUCUCAAUCCAACAAUCUAAUAAAGAGAACGAGUGUCUAUCUUCUGACCCAAGGCCCGAUGUGUGAGGGGAAUUGUUGGAGUUAUCCCACUGUUGGGCGUUAGAUAUUUUAUACUAAACAAACACUACGUUAGAUAGAAAAUUAAAAAUAUUAAAAAUAAUUUUGAUUGAAUUUUUUUCAUAACAAAUUACUAUAUUGACUUCCAAUGUGGACACAUGCACAAAAGGAAAAUAUCUUGUUAAUUGAUCAAUGAUCAUCUGACGCAAAGAUAUUAAAUGAUAAAAAUUUGAUUAAUUAAUGCGUGGUUAAUUAUCUGACUAGUUUAUAUUAACCAUCCAAAUACAGACGUAAUUAAUUUGCACACAAAGUUGAAAACAUGUAUUUUGUUGAAAUCUUAUUGGCUCUUUGAAUUCAUCAUUAAUCGUCUUAUUAAUGGAAAUUUGAAGCUUUCGGCUAAGUGCUAAAGAAAGCACAUUCCAUAAAUCACUAUAAACUCAGAAACAUAUGUAAUAAAUUAUCAGCUAUACUCAACAUCAAAUUCAAUCUUAGAAUUAACAUGACUGAAGUGAAGCUUCAUGGGGUAUUGCUGAGUCCAUAUGUUUACAGAGUGAUUUGGGCUCUGAAAUUGAAAGGCGUGCCAUACGAAUUUGUUGCAGAAGAUCUCUCAAACAAAAGUGAUUUGCUUUUGAAGUAUAAUCCAGUUUAUAAGAAGAUCCCUGUGCUUGUCCAUGGCGAAAAACCAGUUUCUGAGUCCAUGGUUAUUCUCGAGUACAUUGAAGAGAUGUGGCCACAGAAUCCCUCCUUGAUGCCAAACGAUCCUUAUGAUAGAGCUCUUGCUCGAUUUUGGAUUAAAUUCAUCGAAGACAAGGUUCGCACCACAACUCUAGCAAUCCCGUUUAUAAAUAUAUUCUUCUCAAAUUUAUUUAUUUAUUUGAGGUUUCGAUUAGACCAUAAGAAUAAAGAACUUCACCCACUAAAACCCCAACUCUUGUCCUUUGUUACUCGAACUCGGGUCAUAGUACGUAUAGCGGAUUCACAGUCAAUCAAGCCUAGUCGCUCAAUAGCCUUUUUCAUAUUUAUUUGUAAAAAACUCUUUAAACUUUCAACUCCUUGUUUCUUCACUACUUUGUUUCUAGAAAUUUUUAUUAACCAGUAGUGGAUUUAACUUCAUCAGGGAUAAAUAUUAAAAGAUACAAAACGUUAAAUUUAAUAUAAUUGUUUUUAAAUAUGAGGGGAUUUUGAUUAUUUAAAAAAAAACAUAUAGACUAAAAGUAAUGAAUUUACUAACUCUCUUAACUGACUUUUCAAACCUUUAAUUAAAGGAUAUUGUGACUUGUGUAAGUAUUGUCUAAUUUUUUUAGCAUACAACAUAUAUAUUAAUCAUGUGGUGAUAAUAAUUAGAUUAAAAAAUACUGUGGCAGAUUGUUGCUAUUUUGGGAUUGUUUCGUAGCAUUACUGGACAAGAACUAGAGAAUGCAACGAAGGAACUCUUGGAAAUCCUACAAACCCUUGAAGAACAUGGGCUGGGAGAGAAAUUUUUUUUCAAUGGAGACAAUAUUGGCUUAGUUGACAUAGCAUUUGGUUCAAUGCUUUUUUCGAUGCAAGUCAUUGGAGACGUAGUGGGAGUUAAACCAUUUGAAUCACACAAAUUUCCUAGCUUGCAUGCCUGGUUUGAAAAUUUCAAACAAAUCUUCAUCAUUAAUCGUCUUAUUAAUGGAAAUUUGAAGCUUUCGGCUAAGUGCUAAAGAAAGCACAUUCCAUAAAUCACUAUAAACUCAGAAACAUAUGUAAUAAAUUAUCAGCUAUACUCAACAUCAAAUUCAAUCUUAGAAUUAACAUGACUGAAGUGAAGCUUCAUGGGGUAUUGCUGAGUCCAUAUGUUUACAGAGUGAUUUGGGCUCUGAAAUUGAAAGGCGUGCCAUACGAAUUUGUUGCAGAAGAUCUCUCAAACAAAAGUGAUUUGCUUUUGAAGUAUAAUCCAGUUUAUAAGAAGAUCCCUGUGCUUGUCCAUGGCGAAAAACCAGUUUCUGAGUCCAUGGUUAUUCUCGAGUACAUUGAAGAGAUGUGGCCACAGAAUCCCUCCUUGAUGCCAAACGAUCCUUAUGAUAGAGCUCUUGCUCGAUUUUGGAUUAAAUUCAUCGAAGACAAGGUUCGCACCACAACUCUAGCAAUCCCGUUUAUAAAUAUAUUCUUCUCAAAUUUAUUUAUUUAUUUGAGGUUUCGAUUAGACCAUAAGAAUAAAGAACUUCACCCACUAAAACCCCAACUCUUGUCCUUUGUUACUCGAACUCGGGUCAUAGUACGUAUAGCGGAUUCACAGUCAAUCAAGCCUAGUCGCUCAAUAGCCUUUUUCAUAUUUAUUUGUAAAAAACUCUUUAAACUUUCAACUCCUUGUUUCUUCACUACUUUGUUUCUAGAAAUUUUUAUUAACCAGUAGUGGAUUUAACUUCAUCAGGGAUAAAUAUUAAAAGAUACAAAACGUUAAAUUUAAUAUAAUUGUUUUUAAAUAUGAGGGGAUUUUGAUUAUUUAAAAAAAAACAUAUAGACUAAAAGUAAUGAAUUUACUAACUCUCUUAACUGACUUUUCAAACCUUUAAUUAAAGGAUAUUGUGACUUGUGUAAGUAUUGUCUAAUUUUUUUAGCAUACAACAUAUAUAUUAAUCAUGUGGUGAUAAUAAUUAGAUUAAAAAAUACUGUGGCAGAUUGUUGCUAUUUUGGGAUUGUUUCGUAGCAUUACUGGACAAGAACUAGAGAAUGCAACGAAGGAACUCUUGGAAAUCCUACAAACCCUUGAAGAACAUGGGCUGGGAGAGAAAUUUUUUUUCAAUGGAGACAAUAUUGGCUUAGUUGACAUAGCAUUUGGUUCAAUGCUUUUUUCGAUGCAAGUCAUUGGAGACGUAGUGGGAGUUAAACCAUUUGAAUCACACAAAUUUCCUAGCUUGCAUGCCUGGUUUGAAAAUUUCAAACAAAUCCCUGUAAUUGAGGAAAACUUUCCUAAUCGAGAUGAAUAUUUUGUUUAUAUCAAACGUCGCCGUGAAGAGCUGUUGGCCUCUGCUUGAAUGCAGUAGCACAAAGUUUGUUUGUAUGUCUCACGUGUGCUUUUUUUGUUCUUGUAUUGGUGUUUAAAGCUGCUCUUUUUUUCUAUGUUUUUGUUAUUGUCUAGUUCCAAGCUCGGGAGGCUAGCUGACCGGGGUUCUUUUAAUAGAUAUGAAUAAUAAAAUAAGGGACUCAAUUUGUAUAUAUUAAUUUCUAUCUUUCUUUUAAUGAUAUUUAAAAAUAAAAUUAAAAAAUUUAUAAGGGUACAACAAACAAUACACACAUGCGCACGCGCGCGCGCGCGCACACACACACACACAUAUAUAUAUAUAUAUAUGAGGGUGAGGGUGGUGAUAUUUCCACCCACUACUUUUGUAAACAUUCAUAUCCAAUGGUUGUAUUUUUAUUUUGCCUAAAAAUAUGUUUUUUUUUAAUAUGCUACACUUGUAUUGAUGCCUUUAUGAUCAGGUCGGCUAGACCAACAUAUUUCCCCGGGGAACCGGUAAAUACUUCGGCUACGAAAAAGGGUUGUGAUAAGAAACGCUCAAUUUUUCGCGCCCUUGCUACUGCUGUACCGUACAUCCGCCUUGGCCGUACAGCAGAUGAUUUUGACUAUUUUUCUACUAUCAAACAAAAAUGAAAGCAAGUACUUGUGUUUCAAAGGUAUAGUCAAAGAGAGCAGCUGGGAACCUUGAUUUGCUGGGCACCUAGGCACUCAAAUACAACUGAUCCAUGAUCAUCAUGCAUGACGCAAUAAGUUAAAUAAAGCAUCGAUCAUGCAUGACGCAAAUAUUAAAUUGGGAAAGAAAUGUCAACUGUAUAAUUGAUACACGGUUAUCUGAGUAGUUGACCAAAUUAAUGAUCUCAUUAGCUAGCCUUUUUAAUUAAUCAAAAUAUAGAUGUAAUUUGAAAAUUAAUAAAAACAUGACCCCUCUUUUAAAUUGAAAAUAGGAUCACUUGUGAAUUCAGCAUCGUUAAAGAAUAUGAGAGAAAGGGAUGAUCCUAAUUUAUUAAAUACAUAGCGAUUAAAAAAAUGAAAAAGAAAAAUAGUGGCAGGGUGCAGCUGUUUCGAAAAUGUUUUUUUCACCAACUGACAAGAUCUAGAGAAUACAAUGAAGGAAGCCUUGGAAAUGCUUCCAACUGUUGAAAAAUAUGGCUUAGGAGAGAAGAAAUUUUUCAAUGGAGACAAUAUUGGCUUCGUGGACCUAAUAUUUGGAUCGGUUCAAGUCCUUAAGAUAUAAUAUAUAAUACCUAUUUGAUAUGAUUUAUUUAAAGGUUAUAAGUACUUGUUUAAUUUUAAUUUUUUUUUCAAAAUUUUUAUUGUUGUUUGGUUUUAUUUUCAGUCGAGCUUAUGAGAAUUAAAUAAGUUAUUUUUACUCUACCAAUAAGUGCUUAAAUUUUAAAUUUUUAAGAGUAGAGAUUAGAAUACUUUUUUAAAAUGUUAGAUUGUCUAGUAUGCUCAUUAUCUAUUUUACAUUCUUAUUUUAUCCAUAUCUAUUUCAUAACAUAACUUUAAAAACUUAUCUACUAAAUUAAUUUUAUAAUUUGCAAAGUUCUUUAGAAAAGCAAUGAAUCAGACAACUAUUUUUUUGGAGUAAAAACUCUAUUAUUUUAAAGUCUAUUUAAAUAAGUUAUAUUUAAAAAUUAUAUCAAAUGGAGCUUUAAUGGGAGUGAAACUAUUUGAAUCUUGUGAAUUCCCUAGUUUGCGCAAGUGGUUUGAAAAUUUCAAGCAAAUUUCUGUAAUUGAAGAAAAUCUUCCGAGUCAAGGUGAGAUGGAUGGUCUCUUUGAAUAAUUUUUUGGAAAUAGUGGUGGCAUGUGCAUGAAUGUUAUUACAUUUUUUUUUUUUUUGUGCCUUGCUUUGAGCUUGUUUUGUCAUUGUACUGGUGCUAGAAAGAGUUCUUGGGCGCUUUUUAAAGGAAAUGAGUAAUAAAAUAGGGUCGAUUUCAUAUAUAUUUUUAUAUCUUCUCUUAACCCUAUUUAAAAAAUAAUAAACAUAAAUGUUAUAAGGUUACAACGUUACGCAGCUGUAUAUCCAAUUGAAAUUAAUAAACUUAGGCAAACAUCAGGAGAAUUAGAAUCUAAUUUUGAGAAUUGGGAACACAGCUAAGUUGUGAAUUAAAUUGUCACAUGCGGUUGAAAAGUGGUAAACAAAAAAAAAAAAAAAAAAAGUUAGCAAUGUAAUUUUUUAAUAUAUUUAAAAAUUUUAAUAUAAAGAGAAAUUAUUUUGGGCACCAAAAUAUUGACUGCUAAGAAAUAUGAUAGAUCUAAUCCCUAUCGCCUAAUUAGUAUUAUCAUAAUUUACUGAAAGUUGUAAAAUACAAAACUCAUGUUAUUUCGAUGUCAAGACCGAGGACUUGCUACUUAAUUUUUACAUGAACUUUAUGGUGGGACUCAUACUUAUGGGUUCCAUAAUCCAUAUUAUAUUUAUGGAACCCGAUAAUCAAUUUGCAGAAACUUGAUUGAGGUAGGAGUGAUGGAUCUUUAAUCCUACCUUGUUUGAUCCUUAAUUCAACGUUGGACUUAUAUGUGGAUAAUUAUAUGUUAUAAACUGUCAUAUAAGGUUAAGUCCUAUUAAAAGUAAUCUAUUCAAACAUUUGGUGAUUUGAGCCUUUUUUUUUUUUUUUUUUUGGUACAUAGGGAGCCCUCAAAGAGGGUUAAGACGGUACUAGACGGGGAUAGCCAACCCCAUACAUAUCAUGCCAGACAAAAGGAUUAAUAAAGGCCGGUGGGGAGUUAAAAAUAUGGAGGCCCAACGGCAAAGAGUGAGCAUAAUUAGCCAGAGCAUCUGCAGCAUAAUUCGCCUCACGAUAAAUAUGCUUGAGAUCAACAUUCCAAUCACGCUUCAGCAUCUCCUGGAUUGGACAAGAUAAGCUGAUAAUACCCAUUAGGGGCAUUAUUAACACUUACAACCAAGUCAUAGACACAUAAACUAUCCACUUCCACCAAUAGCCAUCGAAUACCGACCUCCCAGGCCAAUAAUAAGCCUUGAUAAAGGCCCUAAAGUUCAGCAAGCGUAAUCGAGCAGCAACCUAUAUUGUGACUGAAUCGUCUAAUCUACUAACCCUUAUGAUCUCGAAUAAUGCCUCCUACACUAGCUAGGCCAGAUUUUUUUGCAAGAGCCGUUCGAAUUUAAUUUGCACCAGGGCCAUACUGGAGGUGACCCAUAAAUCCAUAAUUCCUUCUUGAAUGCCGUCGUAACUACCACAGAUUCAUGAAAGCAUUGAAUCUCAUCAGCCCUCAAACAAAUGUCAUGAAACAUGUGAUUGCUGUCAACAUUAACGUUAUUGAAUUGAAAAUUAUUCCUUCAAUACCAAAGCCUCCAAAUAGUGACACCAAAAAUACAGCUUCAAUCAACAUUUCGGCGCGUCUGCUCCUUACUUCGAAUAUUAAAAAAUAACCAAUCCUUAAGAGACAGAGAAAAAAAGUCAGCUUGUGAGCUCUUUGGAAUGAAACAAUUCCAGAUUCUUUUAGCCACCGGACAGUCUCUAAGCACAUGAAGAGGGCUCUCCAAGUCCAAGCCACACCGAUCACAAAUGCCAUCUGAAUCAAGGUGCCUUCUCCUCAAUUCUAGUUUUGUCUUAAGUCUAUCAUGCAUCACUGUCCAGAUAAAAAUGCAGAUAUCUUGAGGACCCUUCCAUAGCCAGGCCAGCAGCCAAUUCGAAUCCUUAUCUUCAUAUUCCAAACCCGCAAGAUGGUGGUAGGCAGACUUAAUCGUGAAUAAACCUUUGCUGGAAGCUGACCAAUAAAUCGGAUCUUGUCCUCUAGUAGGAGUUGGCGGUUGGAUAGACGCAAUUUUGAGAACAAUAUGAUUCGGCAACAAAUGACUGAAAAUUUCCCACUUCCAUUGGUUGUCCAACGAAACAAAGUCAGCCACCUUACCAUGAAGGAUGUCCUCACCAACCGUGGCAGUGGCAUAAGCAAUGAGAGGUUUAUAUUUAACAGCCCAGCAGUCCUACCAGAACCUGACUUUCUCACCAUUUCCAAUAGACUAGCCCGUGCCCGUAAGAGUUUUGCUCCAAACCUUGCUUACUGAUCGCCAAAGAUAGGAGCAAUUUUUGUUAGAUAAUGCAAUCGGAGGAUUCAUAGGAUCAAAACCAUACUUCGUGCUCAAUACUCUAAUCCAAAGGCUAUUGGUUGAAGAAAGAAGAUCCCAACAAAUCUUCAUAAGCAUAGCUUGAUUCAUAAAAUUUAGAUUUUUAAAUCCCAAUCCACCACAAAUUUUCGGCUUACAAACUGUGCUCUAGCUGAUUUGACUUAGUUUCCUCUCUUUAUUAUUGCCACUCCACAAAAAACGUCGGCAUGCUUGGUCGACUUUGUACUUGACACCAUCCGGAAGAUUUGUCGGCAAAAAUGGGAAGUGCUUGUAGCACUGAUUGUGUGAGAGUUAUAGGCCCAGCCAAAGAAAGGUGAGAAGCAUUCCAAGAUGACAACCUCUUUUCCACUUUAUCCACAAUAUCUUGGUAAGUAUUCUUGGUAACCCUUGAAUGUAGAAGAGGCAUACCAAGAUACCUACCAAGAUUAUUAGAGAUAGUGAAACCUAGAGCCUUACUAAUACUCUUAGACAGAACCGCCGAGACAUUAGAAGAGAAAAAAAUGGAGGUCUUAGUAUUGUUCACCUUUUUCCCAGAGCUACAACAAAAUUCACCGAGGACCGCAUUGAUGAUUUGGGCUUGAUCAUGUGAAGCUUCAGCAAAUAACAAUAAGUCAUCCGCAAAAAAAAGGUAGGUGAGGGGGGUCCCCUGGCGUAACAACCGAAUUGGCUUCCACUUUCCAGCAUUGACAGCACUGCAAAUAGCAUGACUAAGCCGCUCCAUACAAAGCACGAAUAGAUAAGGAGAAAUAGGAUCACCCCGCUGAAUGCCUCUUGAAGGUGUAAAGUCCUCCGUAAACUCACCAUUCCAUAAAACAUUCAUCCGAGCAGUGGUGAUACAUUCCAUUAUAAUUCGGGUAAGAUUCUUCGGUAAACCGACCUCAAUUAAUGUCUCAAAUAUGAAAUCCUAGCUCAGCCUAUCAUAGACCUUUUCGAGAUCAACUUUGAUUGCCAUUUGCCCCACUCUUCCCCUUUAUUUCCUCAUAGUAUGAAUAACCUCCUGCGCCAUUUUCAAUAAUGUGUCAUCCCGGGACAAAGCUAGUUUGCUGCGGUCCAAUGAGAUAAGGAAGGAUGGACUUUAAGCGGUUAGCAAUCAGUUUGGUGAUAGCUUUAUAAGCGACUGAACAUAGACUGAUGGGUCGAAACAUCUUCAAACUUGUGGGAUUAUCAACUUUCGGGAUAAGCACGAGCAAUGUAUGAUUGAUAUCUGCCGGUAGUUGGCGGCUAUUAAAAAUUCCUUCACCAUUUGGCAAAAAGAAACACCAACAACGUGCCACUGACUCUGAUAGAAAAUAGCCGGAAAUCCGUCAACACCCGGAGCUUUCAGCAGCUUCAUAUUAAAGAUGGUUUGCUUGAUUUCAUCGUCAUUGAUAGGUGACAUUAGAAACUGCCAAGUGGAUUCAUCAAUACUUCGAAAAUAACCCGUGGGGAUAAGACACAAAACAAGCGUCAGUAUUUGUGUAAAGUGAAGAGAAUAAAUCAAUAGCAUGCUGUUUAAUCGCUGUGGGCUCGUAAAGCCAAGAGCCCUUCUCAUCCAUGAUAGCUUUGAUGCAGUUUCUAUGUCUCCUUGCUAAGGUUUUCUGGUGAAAAAAUUUUGUGUUUCGGUCCCCCAACAGAGCCCAGUCUUUUCGGGAUUUUUGAUGCCAAAACCACUCCUCCUGAUUAAGCACCUCCUCCAGCUCUUUUUUCAAUUUCUUUUGUAAGUGAAAAAGGCUUCUAGUGUAUUUAACCUCAAGAGCUCGUUGAAUACCUCCAAGCCUAGCUAACAAUCUCCUUUUCCGUUGAAAAAUAUUUCCAAAAAUCACCUUGUUCCACUGUAAUAAUUUGGGAGUGAAAUCAUGAAUCAUGUCACUAAAGGUAGUAUUAGACUUCCAAUGUGAGGCAACAAAUUUUCCAAACUUCUCAUUCGUGAGCCAAGCGGAUAAGAAACGAAAGGGCUUGUUAGCUUUGGAAGCUGAAUUAGUCUCCCCAAAUUUAACAAGAAUAGGUCGAUAAUCUGAGCCCACUUUCGGUAAAUGCAGUAACAUAUUUUCAGGGAACUCGGUCAACAAUUCACCAUUGCAAACAGCUCGGUCCAACCUUUUGUAAAGGCUACCACGUGACCAGAUGAAGCGAGGGCCUUGGAAAUCUAGAUCACAAAGAUUAUUGGAGUGAAACCAAUUUCUGAGCAGAGGACAAACUCCAUUUUUACUAUUGACACCACCCUUCUUUUCAGAGGCAUAAAGGAUCGUGUUGAAAUCCCCUCCCACCAGCCAAGGUCCUUGAAUCUACUUCGCAAUGCUUUCUAAAUGUUGCCAGAGUUGUUUACGGAUAACUGGAAUAGGACUUGCAUAAACAGCAGUGACCCAAGAAAUUAAGGAGCUGUUUUCAGACACCUGGAAGUGUAUAUAUUGCUUAUGAUUCCAUAUUAUAUUCACCUCAUAUGCAUUGUUCCAUAGUAUCCAAAUCCCACUAGAGAAUCCUUCAGCUUCCAUCUGAUGUGAACAGUGAAAGCCAUUAUGCUUAAUAAACACAUCAGCCUUAGCUCCACUAAUUCGGGUUUCCAUCAAAACCACCAUUUUAAGACUGAAAGCCUUGAUUAAGGUUCUGAACGAAAAGCGGAAACCAUUUGAAGCUGCUCCUUGGACAUUCCAAAACAUGUUGGAAAAAGCCAUAAGAGAAAAAUGGUGCAAGUAUUUAGAGUUAAACGGAGGUAACAAACCUCACACCAGCGGCCCUAAGACAUCUGGUAUUACUGCCAUGUCUUGCUCACUGACCAGAGAGGUGUCAUCAGUGGAAGUUCCGAAACCCUCCUCAUCAUUGGUGCCCCGGUAAUCACUAUCAUCACUAUCUUCAUCCAUAUCCUCAUUCAAAGCCACCCUACCAGUGUCAGGAGGUUCUUCUAGAGGAUCAAAGAGUUGAUUGUGGUACUUGGACACCGAACUGUUUUGCUUAGAGCAUCACCAAAAGGGUUUUCAAAUAAGAUUUUAUUAAUUAUUUGAAGAGCCACCUCAAUAUUUAAGGCUCCAAAAGACACUUCAAUUAAGAUUUUUCAAAUAAAAAGUGAUUCUCUCUCUUCAAAUUUAGAGAGUUGAUUUUUCCCUCUUCAAUUUAUAUUUUAUUACUUUUCAUUAGAGAAAAAGAGAGUACUUUAAUUGUUAUUGACUUUUUGUUUAAAAAAAUAAUUAUUUGAUUAAAAUAAUAUUAAGUUAUUUUUAUUUGAAUAGUCUUUUAGAGAAUAUCAUUUUUUUUACCUUUCUAUUUGUCACAUAAAUAAGUAAAUAGAUAUUUAAAUAGUAAAAUUUAUAAAAUUUUUUGGAGAUGCUCUUAGUACCUACUAGCAUGGUGUGGUUUGGGUCAAGGGGAGAAGGGUUACUGGUAUUAAAAGAGAUGGCUGAGUGGUGUUGUGGGUCUAAAGAUGUAGGGACACUGUAUGGAGUCAGGGAGGGCUGUAGUUCAUGGUCUUUAGUUUGAGUACAGAGAAUGUGUCGGUUUUGCAUGGGGUUGUUUAGUGACUUUUCGGUAGGAUUGGCUGUGUUAUGGGCUUUCAUGGAAUCUUGGGUUUUUCUUCUUUGGGCUUGUAAGGUCUGUUUAGUGGCUUGUGUUAAAGGCACGGGUAUUUUUCCUUGGUUUGAGAUGCUUGGUACCUAUCAAAUCCUGUAAAUUUGUGUUUGCGGGCACGUGGCUCCUUAACAUGGCAACUGAGGAUUCAUUUUCUAGACCUUGGUUCUCUUUUCCAUCCUCAUCUUCCAGCCGAGCCCCGAAUCGAGAUCCUUGAUUGAAGUUGCCUUUUUGAUUAUUAGCAUAAUCUUGAAGUUUCUCCUUCUCUUUCCCAUACUGAUUCCUUCUUUUUCGGGUAACCACCAUCCAUGGGCCACAGCGAGGAUCGCUUGGGGUAGCUUUCUCUGCAGUCGGAGCUGAUGGUAACUUGCUGCUUGAGAGAUCGUUUGAGUUAUGUGGAUCAACAUUAGCCUUAGGAUUCCCAAUAUUCUAACAGAUUGCAAAACUGAAUUGAUUCUCAUUGAAUAAACAACCGUAUAAAUACAAAACCAAGAGUGAUUGAAGAUCCUACAAACUAGGAAGGUUACAACUGAAUCCUAUAUCUACUAAUGACAGCUAAAUACAUUUGAAUAUAUUUAAAUAAUACAAACUGAUGAGAAAGACUAAGUCAAGUAACUGAUUAUCUCUAUUAUGCCCCCUCAAGAUGGAGCUCGGGAGAGAAGUCCAAUCUUGUGUUUAUGGUUAAGAAAACGUUGGCGUGGAAGUGGCUUGGUGAGAGCAUCUGCUAGCUGAUCUUCAGAAGAGACAUGAGCUACACGAAGAGCUCCAUUUUGAACUUGAUCCCUGAUAAAAUGAAAAUCUAUGGCAACAUGCUUCAUGCGGGAAUGAAAAAUUGGAUUUGACCAGAGUUGAGUUGCCCCUAUAUUAUCACAGUAAAUGACAGGGUAGUAAGGAAGCAAAAUACCAAGAUCAGUCAAGAGAUAACAAAUGAAAUUAAGUUCAGCAGCUGUAUUUGCAACGGAGCGAUACUCUGCCUCAGUGGAGGAUUUAGCAACUGUCCGUUGCUUUUUAGAGCUCCAGGAGAUAGGAUUUUUACCAAGAUAAACAACAUAAGCACUGGUGGAGCAAAAAGUGUCUUUGUCUCCUGCCCAAUCAGCGUUAGAAAAGGCUUGUAAACUUAGAGAAGUGUCUGAGAAUGCAUGUAAACUGAGAUUAGAGUCUUUGUAAAGUUCCAAACCAUCAUCAACAAUACCAACAAGAUAACGUAGUAGUCGUUUGACAAAAGACCAAUGUUCAGUUGUGGGGCAGUGCAUAUAUUGAGACAAUUUGUUGACAGCAAAGGCAAUGUCAGGUCUUGUUAUUAGCAAAUAUUGAAGGCUCCCCACUACCUGGCGAUACUCAGUGGGAUCAGAAAGAGAAGAACCUGAGGUGAGCAUGAGAGUGGGGCUUGUUGGUAUGGGAGUGAGAACAAUCUUUGCUUCUUGCAUCUUGGUUUGAGUGAGAAGAUCCAUGAUAUAUCUUCUUUGUGAGAGUAACAAGCCAUGGUUGUUGGGGAUAACUUCCACACCCAGAAAGUAAGUGAGGAAACCAAGAUCUUUGAUGGAAAAUCGCUGAGCAAGAAUGGAAAUGAAGCGAUUAACCGUGGUAUCAUUGUCUCCUGUGAAUCUACUAAUGACAGCUAAAUACAUUUGAAUAUAUUUAAAUAAUACAAACUGAUGAGAAAGACUAAGUCAAGUAACUGAUUAUCUCUAUUAUGCCCCCUCAAGAUGGAGCUCGGGAGAGAAGUCCAAUCUUGUGUUUAUGGUUAAGAAAACGUUGGCGUGGAAGUGGCUUGGUGAGAGCAUCUGCUAGCUGAUCUUCAGAAGAGACAUGAGCUACACGAAGAGCUCCAUUUUGAACUUGAUCCCUGAUAAAAUGAAAAUCUAUGGCAACAUGCUUCAUGCGGGAAUGAAAAAUUGGAUUUGACCAGAGUUGAGUUGCCCCUAUAUUAUCACAGUAAAUGACAGGGUAGUAAGGAAGCAAAAUACCAAGAUCAGUCAAGAGAUAACAAAUGAAAUUAAGUUCAGCAGCUGUAUUUGCAACGGAGCGAUACUCUGCCUCAGUGGAGGAUUUAGCAACUGUCCGUUGCUUUUUAGAGCUCCAGGAGAUAGGAUUUUUACCAAGAUAAACAACAUAAGCACUGGUGGAGCAAAAAGUGUCUUUGUCUCCUGCCCAAUCAGCGUUAGAAAAGGCUUGUAAACUUAGAGAAGUGUCUGAGAAUGCAUGUAAACUGAGAUUAGAGUCUUUGUAAAGUUCCAAACCAUCAUCAACAAUACCAACAAGAUAACGUAGUAGUCGUUUGACAAAAGACCAAUGUUCAGUUGUGGGGCAGUGCAUAUAUUGAGACAAUUUGUUGACAGCAAAGGCAAUGUCAGGUCUUGUUAUUAGCAAAUAUUGAAGGCUCCCCACUACCUGGCGAUACUCAGUGGGAUCAGAAAGAGAAGAACCUGAGGUGAGCAUGAGAGUGGGGCUUGUUGGUAUGGGAGUGAGAACAAUCUUUGCUUCUUGCAUCUUGGUUUGAGUGAGAAGAUCCAUGAUAUAUCUUCUUUGUGAGAGUAACAAGCCAUGGUUGUUGGGGAUAACUUCCACACCCAGAAAGUAAGUGAGGAAACCAAGAUCUUUGAUGGAAAAUCGCUGAGCAAGAAUGGAAAUGAAGCGAUUAACCGUGGUAUCAUUGUCUCCUGUGAGAAUUAAAUCAUCAACAUAAACAAGAAGAUACAUGGUAUGGCCAUCAGCAUGAAAGACAAGGAGUGAUGUAUCAGCAUAUGAAUUUUGAAAACCAAACUGGAGAAGGAAGGUUCUGAGUUCAUGAUACCACGCCCGAGGGGCUUGUUUCAGGCCAUAAAUUGCUUUGUUGAGUUUGCAGACAUAAGAGGGGUUGUCUUUAUCAACAAAUCCCGGUGGUUGUGACAUGUAUACAUUCUCUGAUAGAUGUCCUUGAAGAAAGGCAUUGUUUACAUCAAGUUGCCUUAAGGACCAGCCACGGCUGACUGCUAUACUUAGAACGAUUCGGACAGUAGUCGGUUUUAUAACGGGACUGAACGUGUCUUGGUAGUCUAUUCCAGGACGUUGGUGGAAUCCCUUGGCAACCAAUCGGGCUUUGAACCUAUCAACAGAGCCAUCAAAUUUUCGUUUAGUUCUAAACACCCACUUACAACCAACCAAAUUUUGACUGCUAUCUUGUGGAACGAGAGCCCAAGUGCCAUUCUUCACUAAUGCAUCAUAUUCUUCAGACAUGGCCCGACGCCAUUUAUGGUCUUUGAGGGCUUGGGUUAAGGUUGUUGGUUCAUGAUCAUCACCUUUGGUUAAUUGAGUGUGAAGAUUCAUUUUGGUGAUAGGUUUACGAAUAUUGUUUUUGGCUCUAGUAGUCAUGGUGUGGGUGGGUUGUGGCUGAGGCUCGGGUGGGCUUAUAAGUGGUGCUUGUUGUGGAGAAUUGCUGGUAUUUGAAGGUUCACGUGUUUGUGGUGGAGAAAAUGUGGCGGCCUGGUCUAAUGGACGUGAGAGGUCACGUGAUGUGGGUUGAGUAAAUGUAGCGGGCAGGUCUAGUGGUAGUGAAACUGCACGUGGGGAUUGCUGUUGGGCAUCAACUGCAGAUGAGGAAUUGAGUGGUGGUAUCACAGGCAAGAUGGGAACUCGAAGUGGUGAUGGAAUCCAAGUAGCAAUGGAAUGUAAUGGAGAACAAGAGGUAGGAGCAGAGAGAUUAGUGAAGGGAAAGACAGUUUCAACAAAUCUGACAUGCCUAGAGAUAUAUAUUUUGGAAGUGGAUGGAUCAAGGCAGUAAUAGGCACUUUGAGUUAAAGAGUAGCCAAGGAAGACACAUGGUUUGGAUCGGGUGUCCAUUUUGUUGGUAGUGUAUGGUCUCAGCCACAGAUAGCAUAAACAGCCAAAAAUUUUGAGUUUUGAGUAAUUGGGAGCUGUUGUAAAAAAUUUUUCAUAAGGAGAAGAAAGGUUCAAGGUGGGUGUUGGCAUACGAUUUAUGAGAUAAACCGUUGUGGCUAAUGCAUAAGUCCAAUAACUUAAAGGAAGAUAUGCAUGAGAGAGUAAUGCUAGACCAGUUUCUACAAUAUGAAGAUGUGUACGUUCAGAAAAUCCAUUGUGUUCAGGGGUAUGAGGUAGUGUAGUGAGAUGAGAGAUACCAUUUGUUGAAAGAAAAUUGGCAAGGGCAAUGUAUUCACCACCAUUAUCGGAAUAGAGUGUUUUGAUAGGUUUAUCAAAGUCUUUUUCAACAAUGGCUUUAAAUCUAAUAAAAAUAUCCUUGACUUAUGACUUUUGUUUAAGAGGGUAGAACCAAAUAUAUCGGGUGAAAUGAUCCACAAAAAUGACAUAAUAUUUAAAUCCAUUAUUUGAUAUAAUUGGAGAUGUCCAAACAUCAGAGAAGAUAGUUUCAAGGGGUUGAGAAGAUAUAAUGGUGGACUGGGAGAAUGACAAUUUGUGGCUUUUAUUACUCAAACAAACAUUACAUGAAAAAUUGUUGGAAAAUGAAGAAGAAAAAUCAAGUUUAUUUUUGGAAACAAUCUGUUUCAGAAUAUGGAAAGUUGGGUGUCCUAAUCUUUGAUGCCACUCGGAUAGAGUUGUUUUGAUGCUAGAAAAAGCAAGCAAGGGUGGACAUACUGGCCACUCAUAAACGCCAUCUUUAGUGUUGCCCUUCAGAAGUGUUGCCCCCGUGCGAAUGUCCUUUACAAGAAAAGCAGUUGGUAAGAAUUCAAAGGAGACAUUAUUUGAGGUGCAGAAUUGAGAGAUGGAAAUGAGAUUCUUUUUCAUAGCAGGAACACAGAGGACAUUAUUUGACUUGUUUGAUGCGGCCACGAGAAGGCUUGGCGUAGGUGGUGGCUAGGAUAGUCCAUGCUUCACGGGCUGUCUUGGCUUGUGCAAGAAAUGGUAUGAUGGUGUGGGAGAUGGAACCAAUGAUUGCAUUCAAGAUCAAUUGGUCCUGUCGGAUCCAGAGGAUGUGAGCAGGGUUGGAUCUGGUUGUAUCAUUUAGUGUGAGAGUGGCUGAGGGACAUGGCUUGGUGGAGGUGAGUUUUAGAGGGGUUUGGGCAGCAACAUUAAUGCUGAUAAGGGUGUUGUGGGAGUCAUUUGUGUUGAGAAUGGAGGGGGAAGGGAUAGCCAUGGUUUGUGAUUAAAGAGAAGAGAGAUUGGGGAGAAGAAUGGAAUAUGUUACCUCUGAUUUUGCUCUGAUACCAUAACAGAUUGCAAAACUGAAUUGAUUCUCAUUGAAUAAACAACCGUAUAAAUACAAAACCAAGAGUGAUUGAAGAUCCUACAAACUAGGAAGGUUACAGCUGAAUCCUAUAUCUACUAAUGACAGCUAAAUACAUUUGAAUAUUUUUGAAUAAUACAAACUGAUGAGAAAGACUAAGUCAAGUAACUGAUUAUCUCUAUUAUAUUCGACCUUUCUGGGCAGGAUGAAAUCAUGUGACCAUACCUUCCGCAACUAAAACAAAUAGUCGGGAGGGAUUCACAUUCCACAUUCUGAAUCUUCCCAUCCAAUAGAAACUGUGAAACUAACGGUCUGUCAAGAUUAACCUCGACGGCAAUCCGAGCAAAUUUUCCCCGAGUGACUAGUUCCGUGUUAUAGUCAAUUUUGGGCACUGUUCCUACUACAUUCCCCAACAGACGAAUAAUUCUUUUAUGAUAGUAGUGCAAUGGCAUGCCGGGGAGACGGAUCCAAGCCGUAAUCUUCUGGAUUUUCUCCUUAAAGCAAUCAAAUUGUGGACUCCAUUGCUGAACAUUCAAAUAAUGACCCAAUAUAACCUAUGGCCCUUGAGUAAGAACAAACUCAGCACCAUUUCCAUGGUAUUUGAGAAAUAUGACUCUCUAAACUUUUAUUUUACAUUACAGAAAAUUAUAAAAAAAAAUCGGUUAAUUACUUUAAAUUUUUAUCUUUAGAAAAUUUUCUUAAUUAACCGUGGAUUUUACUGCAUCAAGGGUAAAAUAUUAAAAUAUAAUUGUUUUAGCGACGGGGGAAUUUUAAGGACUUUUGAAACGUGAAAGUAAAAUUAUAAUUUACUAAAACAAUAAGAGGACUUUUUUUUAUCUUUUUCCUUUUAUUUCAUUAAGUAUUUGUUGAUAUGGCUUAUUUAUUACUCAUACAUGUUUAUUUAAUAAAAAAACUCUUUUCAAAAUUUUUAUUAUUGUUUAGUUUUAUUUUUAGUAAAGCUUAUUGGGAUUAAAUAAAUUAUUUUGCCUAUAUUAAUAAAAUUUUAAAUUUACACUUUUGGAAAUAGAGGGUUGAGGAUUUUUUAAAAAGUUAAAUUGUUUAAAAUAUUCAUCAUUUACUUUAUAAUCUUAUUUUAUUUAUUUCAUAACAUAACUUUAAAAAUUUAUCUAUUAAAAUAAUUUGAAAAAUUUUAAUAAAAAUUUUCAUUAACAAUUAAAUAACUAACUUUUUUUAUAAAAAUUAAAAUUUUACUAAUAAAAAUUCUACUUAAAUAAGUUCUGAAAAAUUAUACUAAACUAGUCUAAAUAUUAGUAGAUAAACUCUCCUAAAUACUUUGACAGUUUGAAAAAAUGAAACGUCUAGGCUUUAAAAGAUACUUUGACGCGUGUGUACAUAUUAUCUAAUUUCUUUUUACCUCAUAUAUAUUAUUAAUCAUGUGGUGGUAAGAAUUAGAUAUAAAAUCUUGUGGCAGGGAGUAGCUGUCUGGAAAAUGUUUUUCAGCACUGGACAAGACCUGGAGAAUGCAGUGAAGGCAGCCUUGGAAAUGCUUCAAACCGUUGAAAAACAUGGCCUAGGAGAGAAGAAGUUUUUCAAUGGAGACAAUAUUGGCUUAGCGGACCUAGCAUUUGGAGCCAUUGCUUAUUGGUUGCAGGUCCUUGAAGAUGUAAUGGGAGUGAAACUAUUUGAAUCUCACAAAUUCCCAAGCUGGCAUGAGUGGUUUGAAAAUUUCAGGAAAGUCCCUGUAAUUGAAGAAAAUCUUCCAAAUCAGCAUGAGAUGGUGAUCGCUUUCAAACGUCGUCGGGAAACAUUGGUGACAUCUGCGUGAAUGUAUUAUCAUAAAAUAAGUUUGUGAUUCUUGCUUUGUGCUUGUUUUAUUUUUGUACUGAUGCUAAAACAGAUCUUUCUACUUUGUUUAAUUCAUUUUACUAUUGAGACGAACUGUAUGUUGGGUGCUAUUUAAUGGAUAUAAAUAAUUAAUAAAUGAAACUCCAUUUUACAUAUUUUUAUUCUCAGUUUCUCUUAACAGCAUAUAAAAAGUAAUAAGCAUGCGUUUUAAGCAUACAUUUUUAUAAGGCGCAACAUUACAAAGUUAUAUAUCCAAUUGAAAUAUAUAUAUAUAUAACUAAUUUUGAAAACUAGUGGAUAUAUCUAAUUCUAUGCUAAAAUUCAAGGAUACCACUGAACAUUUUGCUAAUUAAUUUUGAACCUUCUAACAAUUAAGACCGCCCAUGUCCCUGCAUUAUAGCAGCUAGGGAUGGUAAUGGGUAUUGGCUGCUGUAGGUUUGUCAUUACUAAAUCUUUUUGUAAUCUAUUUAGAUUUUGUCUUUAUAAAUUUUAUACAACUGCUAUCGUCAAUUAAUUAGACAAAUAAAAAUUCAAGUUUAGCAAACAAUCAAUAUGUUCAAGUCAUUAAAGCAAAACAAUUCAAAGUAGUUAAAAUAAAAUAAAAUAUAAUUAAUAUUAAGCUUGAAAAGUACAAAAUUCUACUUAUUAAAAAGUUAUUGUCUUCAUCUUAAAAUAUAUACAUAUACUAGAAGGAGCAAGGCGUGCAGCUAUAAUUAGUUAGAUUAGGUUUAAGAAUUUUGAAAACUAGAGUAAUAACUUUAACUUAUAUACUUAUAGAAAAUCUUUUGGUGGAAGUUGAUAGUCUCUGUGUUUCACAGAUAAUUUCUAAGCAGGUGGUCGUGCCUAAUGCUUUUUAUGCUAUAGUUGUUGCUGUUCAGGAAUUAUUAAGUAGAAACUGGCAAAUUUCUAUCAUACACAUCUUUCGUUAAGCGAAUUCAGCUGUGGAUUUCAUGGCUAAUAUGGCUCAUUCAGUUCCUCAUGGUUUGCAUUUAUUUACUAGCCUGCCUGUGGGUAUUUAUUCAAUUAUAUUGCAAAACAUGGUUACUCAACCCCGCUUUGUUCCGGCUUAGCUCGUUCUGUUGAGCCCCUUUUAAUAAAAAAAAAAUCUUCUAAAUCGGCGUGAGUUGGUGGUCUCAAACGUGGUCGGGAAACAUUGGUGGUACCUGCGCGAAUGUAAUAUCAUAAAAUAAGUUAGUGAGUCUUCUUUUACACUUGUUAUGUUUUUGUACUGGUGUUAAAAAUGUUCUUUCUAUUUUGUUUAAUUAAUUUUACCAUUGAAGUAAGCUGCAUGUUAGGUGCUAUUUAGUGGAUAUAAAUAAUUAAUAAAUGAGACUCCAUUUUAUAUAUUUCUAUACUCAACUUCUCUUAGCAGUAUAUAAAAAAUAAGAAGCACGCAUUUUAAGCAUACAUUCUACAAGGCGCAACAUUACGAAGUUGUAUAUCCAAUUGAAAUGGAAAAAAAAAAAAAAAAUGUAAACAACAUGGGAAUCAGAAACUAAUUUUUUGAAAACAAGGGGAUAUAUCUAAUUCUAUGUCUAAACUUCAGGGAUGCGGCUGAAAAUUUUGCUAUUUAAUGUUGCAACUUGUAACAAUUCAAGACCGCCUCCGGCCCUGUGUUACAGAAGCUGCUGAUGGUAAUGGGAAUCACUUAUUAUGGGUUUGUCAUUAUUAAACUCGCCAGUAACCGGUUGCCUUAGUUCGUUCGCUAUAAUUUUUAAUAAUUAGCAAAUCCACCCAUAACAUGCAGUAGGUUUUUUUUUUAUAUAUAAAUUUUUAUAUUUAAAAUCACAAAUAUUAAAAAAAUUAUAUUUAAUAAUUUGAAUUAUAUAAUUCAAAAUAUAACUUUAUAGUAACAGCCAAAAAAAUCUACAUAAAUUACUUAAUUUUAGAUUUUACCAAUGUAAAAGAGAAAUUAAAGUUUCAAUAUUAAAACAAAUACACAAAAUAUAUCAUUCUACCACAAAAUAUUUUUGUUGUAGGCAAAUAAUCAUUACUAAGAUUAAUGUCUUGCCCUAUCUUUUAGUUAAUAUACAAGUAUUGUCAACAAUAUUACCAAAUAUAUUUUGGACAACUAUUGACCAUUAAUUAGACAAAUAAAAAUCCAAUCUUAACCAGCAAUCACUAAGUUCGGGUCAUUAAAGCCAAACAAACAAAAGUAAUUAAAUUAAAUUAAAUUAAAAUAUCAUUAAUAUUAAACUUGAAAAACACUAAAUCUACUUAUUAAAAGUUUAUUUUUUGUGUGUGUGCGUGUGUAUACAUUUACAUACAUACAUACAUACUUGAAGGAGUAGGGUGUGCAACUGUAAUGAGUUAGUUUAGGUUUAGGAAUUUGGAAUAUUAGAGUAAUAACUUUAACUACUAUAUUUUUAUGAUUAAAUUUUUUUAAGACAAUCUUUCUGACUAAAAUAAAAGACAUAAAUAAUUAAAAAAAUGCUAGUCGGCAGACACCCGCCAAAUUUUUUCUCAAUACUAAAUCUAUCCGUAACCUGCAACGAACUUAAAUUUAAAAUACCGAACUUAUCCGUAACCUCCAAAAUUAUUCGCAGUGGACAGAUUUUUGUAGAUGGGUUUAGACAAAUUUACAUAUUUACGACUAAUUUUGCCGUCCUAAUGCGAUCGGCUAGAGGAUAGCGGUUUGCUAUUGUUCUUUAGUUCUAUAUACAAGAUAUGUCAAUGUAUUUUUGAACAACUUGCGAGAGAUAACUUCAAAUUUAUUUGCAAUCAUACUAUCACAUGAUGUGAAUUAAAUUUUGUCAGAUACGAAAGAGAAAUUGGCCCAAAAAAAAGGAGGAUUAGUGAAGUAAUUAAUAACAAUUUAUCUUGACAAUAAAAGUUUUUAUUAAAAAGUUGAUGUACAAAGAGAAAUUAUUAUGGGUCGAAAAAAAACCCAGCGUCAAAUAAAAGUUGAUGUACAAAGAGAAAUCUACUCCUCCAGCCUGGCCGACUUUUACCGCCUAAUAUUAUAUGAAUUUAUUGAAAGCUGUAAAUUACAAAAAUGAAACUGUAAGUUACCUCCGUCAAUUCCACAAAUUAAAUAAUAGGGGACUGAUAAGAUUUAAAAAAAAAAUCAUGGGUCCUGUUAUAAGAUUCACGAACUAAAUAACAGGUCCUCUAUGAUCAGGUGAUUAUUUUUAAAAAAAUGUAUUUAAAAAUAAUUUAGUCCAAUUUUUUUUAUAACAAAUUAUAUUUGCGUCCAAUGUGAACACAUGCACAAAAGGCAAAUGUCUUGUUGAUUAAUUGAUAUAUGGUCAAUUGAUCAUCAUGCAUGACGCAAAGGUCUUAAAUGUAAAACAAAUGGCAAAAUUUUGAUUAAUUAUUGUAUGGUUAUCUCUGACUGGUUGACCAAAUUAUUGAUCUCAUUGGCUAGCGUUUUAAAUUAGGAAUUGUGUCCACUUAUUUGAGUUUUAAAAAAUCUUUAUAACAUGUAUGAACUUUUAUUUAUUUCCGGUCAAAAUUUAUUUUUACUUAAUAACUACCAAUCACAUAAUUAUAUUUUUUUAUAUAAAAUUUUUUAUCAGGAGAAAAUAAUAUCCUUUAAAUUAACCUCAAAAUGCGGUUGCACACAGCGUAAAAAAAUAUUUAAUUAAAGUCAUCGCACUAGUUCUUUGAAUUCAUCAUUAAUCGUUUUAUUAAUGGAAAAUUGAAGCUUUCUGCUCAAGAAAGUGCAUACCAUAAAUCACUAUAAAUUCAGAAACAUGUGUAAUGAGUUAUCAGCUAUACUCAAGAUCGACCAAAAAACCUGAUAUUCAAAUUCAAUCUAAGAAUUAUCAUGGCUGAAGUGAAGCUUCAUGGGGCACUGCUGAGUCCAUUUGUUUACAGGGUGAUUUGGGCUCUGAAAUUGAAAGGCGUGCCGUAUGAAUUUGUUGCAGAAGAUCUCUCAAACAAAAGUGCUUUGCUUUUGAAGCACAAUCCGGUUCACAAGAAGAUCCCAGUGCUUGUCCAUGGCGGAAAACCAGUUUGUGAGUCCAUGGUUAUUCUCGAAUACAUCGAAGAGACGUGGCC